UACAUGAGCCCUCAAGACCUCAAGUGGAGUGUCGGGUUGCUAGGACCAACAGAAAUAUUGACACACUGGGAGAGGGCAUGUGCUCCAGACAGACUCUUAGAGACCGGACAUGUCUCUGGACUGCAUUCUCCCAACAGGAAGUGGGGCUCUGGAACAUUCUCAAGAGAAACAUCUUGUCCAAGGAAGUACUUUUAAGCCGGUACACCUCCAGCCAAAAAGAGCCGCUUUGAAGGGAACUUAGAGAUAUCUCACCGCCGGUCACCCCCACCAUCCAACCCCAACCUCCUCUGCAGGGGAGUCGUGAAUGGCUGGGUCUGAGCAACCUACGAGACUGGUACCCUUCACAUCUUCCCUGUCGCCACAUCUGGCUGGUGAGUACUUCUG